rnacentral:rRNA from 1 species
GAUGAACGCUGGCGGCGUGCCUAAUACAUGCGAGUCGAGCGAACGGACGAGAAGCUUGCUUCUCUGAUGUUAGCGGCGGACGGGUGAGUAACACGUGGAUAACCUACCUAUAAGACUGGGAUAACUUCGGGAAACCGGAGCUAAUACCGGAUAAUAUUUUGAACCGCAUGGUUCAAAAGUUAAAGACGGUCUUGCUGUCACCUAUAGAUGGAUCCGCGCUGCAUUAGCUAGUUGGUAAGGUAACGGCUUACCAAGGCAACGAUGCAUAGCCGACCUGAGAGAGUGAUCGGCCACACUGGAACUGAGACACGGUCCAGACUCCUACGGGAGGUAGCAGUAGGGAAUCUUCCGCAAUGGGCGAAAGCCUGACGGAGCAACGCCGCGUGAGUGAUGAAGGUCUUCGGAUCGUAAAACUCUGUUAUUAGGGAAGAACAUAUGUGUAAGUAACUGUGCACAUCUUGACGGUACCUAAUCAGAAAGCCACGGCUAACUACGUG